CGGGCUGUGGUAUACCGGCUAGUACUCAUGCUUUGGGAGCAUGCAGACUGGGUUCGAUUCCCAGCAGCCCGA
rnacentral:tRNA from 1 species